rnacentral:rRNA from 1 species
UAAGGAAUAUUGUCAAUGGACGCAAGUCUGAACCAGCCAUGCCGCGUGCAGGAAGACGGCCCUACGGGUUGUAAACUGCUUUUGUACCGGAAUAAACCUUUUCACGUGUGAGAAGCUGAAUGUACGGUAAGAAUAAGGAUCGGCUAACUCCGUGCCAGCAGCCGCGGUAAUACGGAGGAUCCAAGCGUUAUCCGGAUUUAUUGGGGUUUUAAAAGGGGUGCGUAGGUGGCCCUAUUUAAAGUCAGGGGGGUGAAAGACGGGUAGCUUUAACUAUCGCAGUGCCUUUGAUACUGAUGGGCUUGAAUACACUUGAGGUAGGCGGAAUGUGACAAGUAGCGGUGAAAUGCAUAGAUAUGUCACAGAACACCAAUUGCGAAGGCAGCUUACUAAAGUGUUAUUGACACUGAGGCACGAAAGCGUGGGGAUCAAAACAGGAUUAGAUACCCUGGUAGUCCACGCCCUAAACGAUGAAUACUCGAUGUUGGCGAUAUACGGUCAGCGUCUAAGCGAAAGCGUUAAGUAUUCCACCUGGGGAGUACGCCCGCAAGGGUGAAAGCUCAAAUGAAUUGACGGGGUCAUAGCUGUUUCCUG